GUCUAUGGCCAUGCUACCCUGAACAAGCCGGAAGCUUAAGCAGGGUCGGACCUGGUUAGUACGUGGAUGGGAGACCACCUAGGAAGACCAGGUGCUGUAGGCA
rnacentral:rRNA from 1 species